CCUCAGGGACUAAAAGAAUGACACAUGGAUAAACAGGAACUAAGCUCCUAAGCUUUUCACCUACCUGCCAUCUUCCUCACCACGCAUGAGGAUUAGAAGCGUCACAAAGAAAGCAGUCUCGGAAGUUUGUCAAAUAGAGAUUUCUGGGUGAUGGUUUGGGAAAGGAUGAUUUAGAUCGUGCCUCUCCUGGGUGAGGAAAGUGACUGAAACACAUAACAGCAGAGAACUUGAAGUGCUGGUUUGAGCUUCAGGAGAUGUGAGUUCUAGCCCCAGUGCUGCCUGUGAUUUUCUCUGUGACCUGGGACAAGUCCCUUGUGGAUACGACAGGAUGUGCGGGCUACAAGGAUCUCUGAGACUUCUCCCAGGACAAAUGAGAUAAAGUUAUGCUCCUGGAAGAUGUCCUGGGUUACAUAUGCAAGAAUGAUGAUCUGGGUUUCUGUGUGAUCUUGAGCAAGAUUCUCCAUCUCUGGGUCUCAAGUUCUUCAUCUGACUACUUCUGUCCAAAGCCACAUUCAGAAGUCACGGUGAACAUUCAGGAACAGCCACACAGGGCAAGGCGUGCUGCAUUCAUCUACUGUGCAACAGUGGGGGAUUCAGGGACAGAGCACAGCCACAGCCUGGUAAAGAAACUGGCAUGGAAACAACUUAUGAUAACUGCAGUAAAAGAGGGAACCCAGGGCACAAGCUUAUGGAAGAAGAAUUUUCUUAUUUUAUCCAGCUCCCAUUUAUUGAUGCCUGACUCUGAACCCACAUCUGAGAAAGCAAUGAAGUGGGGGAGAUUCCUGUAGGUGACACAUUUUUCCAAAUUUAGAACAGGUAUUUGACUGUUUUAUUAUUUUCUCAUCUUGUAUCUUUUACUUUAUAGCCCAAGUUCUCUAGAAUUUUAUUGAGAGUACAAAGUAGAUGCAGUUCCUUUUUUAUAUAUA
rnacentral:lncRNA from 1 species